rnacentral:rRNA from 1 species
GACGAACGCUGGCGGCGUGCUUAACACAUGCAAGUCGAACGGAAAGGCCCUGCUUUUGUGGGGUGCUCGAGUGGCGAACGGGUGAGUAACACGUGAGUAACCUGCCCUUGACUUUGGGAUAACUUCAGGAAACUGGGGCUAAUACCGGAUAGGAGCUCCUGCUGCAUGGUGGGGGUUGGAAAGUUUCGGCGGUUGGGUAUGGACUCGCGGCUUAUCAGCUUGUUGGUGGGUUAGUGGCUUACCAAGGCUUUGACGGGUCGCCGGCCUGAGAGGGUGACCGGCCACAUUGGGACUGAGAUACGGCCCAGACUCCUACGGGAGGCAGCAGUGGGGAAUAUUGCACAAUGGGCGGAAGCCUGAUGCAGAAACGCCGCGUGCGGGAUGACGGCCUUCGGGUUGUAAACCGCUUUCGCCUGUGACGAAGCGUGAGUGACGGUAAUGGGUAAAGAAGCACCGGCUAACUACGUG